rnacentral:tRNA from 1 species
UGGGGAAUUAGCUCAGUUGGGAGAGCACCUGCUUUGCAAGCAGGAGGUCAACGGUUCGAACCCGUUAUUCUCCAU